rnacentral:antisense_RNA from 1 species
CAAAUUUGGUUUCUGUGCUCUGCGAAAGCCAGUUACCUCGGUUCAAAGAGUUGGUAGCUCAGCGAACCUUGAGAAAACCACCGCUGGUAGCGGUGGGUUUUUCUUU